rnacentral:rRNA from 1 species
AUUGAACGCUGGCGGCAGGCUUAACACAUGCAAGUCGAACGGUAACAUAAAGGAGCUUGCUUCUUUGAUGACGAGUGGCGGACGGGUGAGUAAUGCUUGGGAAUCUAGCUUAUGGAGGGGGAUAACUACGGGAAACUGUAGCUAAUACCGCGUAGAAUCGGGAGGUGAAAGUGUGGGACCUUCGGGCCACAUGCCAUAGGAUGAGCCCAAGUGGGAUUAGGUAGUUGGUGAGGUAAAGGCUCACCAAGCCGACGAUCUCUAGCUGGUCUAAGAGGAUGACCAGCCACACUGGGACUGAGACACGGCCCAGACUCCUACGGGAGGCAGCAGUGGGGAAUAUUGCGCAAUGGGGGCAACCCUGACGCAGCCAUGCCGCGUGAAUGAAGAAGGCCUUCGGGUUGUAAAGUUCUUUCGGUAGCGAGGAAGGCAUUUAGUUUAAUAGACUAGGUGAUUGACGUUAACUACAGAAGAAGCACCGGCUAACUCCGUG